GACGAACGCUGGCGGCGUGCCUAACACAUGCAAGUCGAGCGGAGAUCAGGGAGUGCUUGCACGAGCUGAUUUUAGCGGCGGACGGGUGAGUAAACGCGUGAGCAACCUGUCCUGCACAGGGGGAUAACACUUGGAAACAGGUGCUAAUACCGCAUAAGACCACGGUGCCACAUGGCACAGGGGUCAAAGGAGCAAUCCGGUGCAGGGUGAGCUCGCGUCCCAUUAGAUAGUUGGCGGGGUAACGGCCCACCAAGUCGACGAUGGGUAGCCGACCUGAGAGGGUGAUCGGCCACACUGGGACUGAGACACGGCCCAGACUCCUACGGGAGGCAGCAGUGGGGAAUAUUGGGCAAUGGGCGCAAGCCUUACCCAGCAACGCCGCGUGAGGGAAGAAGGUUUUCGGAAUUGUAAACCUCUGUCCUGGGGGACGAAGGAAGUGACGGUACCCCCGGGAGGAAGCCCCGGCUAACUACGUGCCAGCAAGCCGCGGUAAC
rnacentral:rRNA from 1 species